CAUGUGAUAGAUGUAAAAGGAUUUGAGUAAUAUAUAAAGAGGUAGGGUCUCUCCACUCAUUGCCAAUUGGUUUUGAGUUGGAAGCCAUAUCAAACCCUAAUUUAACAAGUUUUCGAUUUGGAGAAGCAGCUCAUCGGUACAUUGAGUCUAUCAAGUAUGGGGGUGGAUGAUGUCGUACCAUAAGGUUAUCCAAAAUGCUUUAUGGUUUGCUUCCAUGAUUGGAGGAGGAUUUUGGUCUGAAUGGCUUGGGUUUGCUAACUUGUUUUCAAGGGUUAAUGUCGUUAAGGAUUACCUUCCAUACUGUUUUUAUCUGAUCUUUAUCAGAUUAAAUGAGCAACAGAAAUGGUAAUUAUCCAAUAUGGUACCGAUUAUUACGAAUGGUAAGUUUUCUAUAACGGUUUUGUUUAUAUUCGCUGAUUUUUAGCAGUUUAAAUUACGAAAUGAAAUUAUAUGGUAGGUAUUGAAUAUGAUGUUGGUUUUACGAUUUGCUGAUGUUUUAUCAACAUAAAUUUAUAUGGUAGGUAUUUAAUAUUACGCAUAUUACGCAUAUGAUCCUAACUAAUUUUUUACUUACAUGUUUGGGAAGAGGAUGACAGUGUUUGGAUACACGUAUAGGAUAGUUGAGAUCCGAAUAAGAUUGUAGCCAAACAGAUA